UAAAGCAAGCCAAGCAUGUAAAGCAGCAUAUCAGAACGGUGAGGUGCGCUCUCGCAGCGGAUAAUGGGUGAAUUGAAACCCUAGCGGAGGCGUAGCAACCCAGCCUUAUGUCCAUCCCGCUUAUAUGACUAGGAACUAAUGAACUGAGCUACAGCCUUCUACCCCGCACCUUGUUUUCGCCGAUGCUGUUCUCUCUCGUCUCUUGUCGGCUUGUCGCAUCCUCCGAUAAGAGAUGCCUUUUUGAACAUCUUGAUGGCCUUGCUCUGGAGGCGUAUAGAAACAUCAUCAAUUCAGGGAGUUAUCAUGUCCAGUGCUGCCUCUUAUGUGCUCCGGAUUUCAUGCUCUCGUACAUUCACUUGUACUUUUCAUUGGUGAAUCUUCCUUUUAAUUUUCUUAUAUGCAGUAAAUCAUUUAUGUGGAUACUGCAAACAUUGUCUUAAGCUUAAAAUUCAAAGCUUUACCCUAUAGCUUGGAAUGGAAUUUUCCUCUCUUUUUUCACUUGUUGGCAAUUUGCUGUAAAUAGUGAAUAAUCCUACUGAUGAGCA